rnacentral:rRNA from 1 species
GAGUUUGAUCAUGGCUCAGAUUGAACGCUGGCGGAAUGCUUUACACAUGCAAGUCGAGCGGCAGCGCGGGGCAACCUGGCGGCGAGCGGCGAACGGGUGAGUAAUGCAUCGGAACAUGUCCAUGUCGUGGGGGAUAGCCCGGCGAAAGCCGGAUUAAUACCGCAUACGCCCGAGAGGGGAAAGUGGGGGACCGCAAGGCCUCACGCGAUUGGGUUGGCCGAUGUCCGAUUAGCUAGUUGGCGGGGUAAGAGCCCACCAAGGCGAUGAUCGGUAGCUGGUCUGAGAGGAUGAUCAGCCACACUGGGACUGAGACACGGCCCAGACUCCUACGGGAGGCAGCAGUGGGGAAUUUUGGACAAUGGGGGCAACCCUGAUCCAGCCAUUCCGCGUGAGUGAAGAAGGCCUUCGGUUGUAAAGCUCUUUGUCGGUACGAACGGAUACGUCUAAUACGCGUGUCUACU